rnacentral:rRNA from 1 species
UACGUAGGGUGCAAGCGUUAAUCGGAAUUACUGGGCGUAAAGCGUGCGCAGGCGGUUAUGUAAGACAGAUGUGAAAUGCCCGGGCUUAACCUGGGAACUGCAUUUGUGACUGCAUGGCUAGAGUUUGGCAGAGGGGGUAGAAUUCCACGUGUAGCAGUGAAAUGCGUAGAUAUGUGGAGGAACACCGAUGGCGAAGGCAGCCCCCUGGGUCAAGACUGACGCU